AUAUAUUUCCCAUAUACCAGUAUAUCAAAGAAAUACUCGAUCUGCAUAUAAAAAAAACUAUUAGCUAUACAGAAUGAACCAUCAAUACACAGGUGUUGCAAUAAUGGACAUUAUAAGUGUGAUGUCAUAGAAUACAGACUAUUAGUACUUGAACACUGCAGUGAGAAAGAGUUUUUCUUUUGAGAUAGAGAUCUUGUAUUGAGCCAAUGCUAAUAUCAAAAUUAUAUCAAUAUAUCGAAAGACUGAAAACAUUUAACGAACCAUGCCUUGGUAGGAAAUCAAUAAUCAGAAACAGAGGUCCUUAGGUGCCUGAGAAACAUCCUAGGGAUAACGUGGUCAGAUACUAUCAGCAAUGCAGACCUACGGAAAAGGACCAAACUGUGGUAGUUACAGCAUCAGAAGACACAGAUGGAACUGGAUAGGUCACACACUGAGGAAAGUGAACUCCAAGCAAGGUAGUUACAGCAUCAGAACACACAGAUGGAACUGGAUAGGUUACACACUGAGGAAAGUGAACUCCAAGCAAGCUCUAGAGUGGAGCCACCGAGGACAACGAAAGCGUGGAAGGCCAAAAAAUCUAGAUGUGUCGGCACAACCACGAAUGUCCCUGCCUGCAGUAAAGUCAAAUGUAGAAAAUCCAUUGAAGUAUAGCAUUGAAUGUGUUAUUUAGAUUGUAUGUUACACACAUUUAGUACAAUAAAAAACUUAUCAACAAU